ACUCAACGUUAAUUCUUUAAAAAGGGUGAGUUUAAAUUGUAAAAGCAUGCUGCUAAUACUUAGUAUUUGGGCAGAUCCUUGAUCAGUUUGUUAGCCCUAAACUUGUUUUUAAGGAGUUU
rfam:Winogradskyella sp. J14-2, complete genome.